rnacentral:misc_RNA from 1 species
UUUCCGUAGGUGAACCUGCGGAAGGAUCAUUACCACGAACACAGCGGAGCGAGGCGCGUUAGCGCCGAGCGACGCUGCAAACCCCCAUUCCGCUGGCCCCGCAACGGGCCAGCAGUGAACACCACGUUACACAGCGCUCCCAGCUGAGUGGGCGGGCAGGCCUGAAUGGACUGCCCGCGGCUGGUACUUUGCAGCGCUCUACCAAACGCCACCCACACAAACCGAACCCAAUCUCAACCAUUAGCCUCGGCAUUACAUGGCGGUGGGAUUUACUCCCGCCUCCUCAUACAAAAACGCUUACAACUUUCAGCAACGGAUAUCUUGGCUCUU